rnacentral:rRNA from 1 species
UACGGAGGGUGCAAACGUUGCUCGGAAUUAUUGGGCGUAAAGCGCACGUAGGCGGUUUGUUAUGUCGGAUGUGAAAGCCCUCGGCUUAACCGAGGAAGUGCAUCCGAAACUGGCAAGCUUGAGUACAGAAGAGGGUCUCGGAAUUCCCGGUGUAGAGGUGAAAUUCGUAGAUAUCGAGAGGAACACCUGCGGCGAAGGCGGGUUGCUGGGCUGAUACUGACGCUGAGGCGCGAAAGCCAGGGGAGCGAACGGG